GGUCAAGCUACUAAGGGCACAUGGGGAAUGCCUUGGUGCCAGAAGCCGAUGAAGGGCGUAGCAAGGCUGCGAUAAGCCCCGGAUAACUGUCUAGCGAGUUUAGCCGGGGAUUCCCGAAUGGGGAAACCCGCCUCAUUUUGAGGCACUAAUUCUGUGAAGAAUUAGAGGUAAGCGGGAGAACUGAAACAUCUAAGUACCCCGAGGAAAAAAAAUCAACCGAGACUCUCUUAGUAGCGGCGAGCGAAAAGGGAAUA
rnacentral:rRNA from 1 species